AUACGGAGGGUCCAAGCGUUAUCCGGAAUCAUUGGGUUUAAAGGGUCCGUAGGCGGGCAAUUAAGUCAGAGGUGAAAUCCCACAGCUCAACUGUGGAACUGCCUUUGAUACUGGUUGUCUUGAAUUAUAGUGAAGUAGAUAGAAUAUGUAGUGUAGCGGUGAAAUGCUUAGAUAUUACAUAGAAUACCGAUUGCGAAGGCAGUCUACUAACUGUAUAUUGACGCUGAUGGACGAAAGCGUGGGGAGCGAACAGGAUUAGAAACCCUAGUAGUCC
rnacentral:rRNA from 1 species